CUGGUGUCCGACUCUGUUGGUGCCGUACUAACCCUUAAGCACCCCACCUGGGGAGUACGGUCGCAAGACUGAAACUCAAAGGAAUUGACCGGGGCCCGCACAAGCGGUGGAGCAUGUGGUUUAAUUCGAAGCAACGCGCAGAACCUUACCAGGUCUUGACAUCCACGGAACCCUGGUGAAAGCCGGGGGUGCCCGCGAGGGAGUCGUGAGACAGGUGCUGCAUGGUCGUCGUCAGCUCGUGUCGUGAGAUGUUGGGUUAAGUCCCGCAACGAGCGCAACCCCCUGUUGCUAGUUGCCAGCAGUUCGGCUGGGCACUCUAGCAAGACUGCCUACGAAAGUAGGAGGAAGGCGGGGAUGACGUCUGAUCCGCAUGGCCCUUACGACCUGGGCGAACACACGUGCUACAAUGCCUGCCACAAAGCGCUGCGACCCGGCAACGGGAAGCCAAUCGCAUAAAAGCAGGCUCAGUUCGGAUUGGGGUCUGCAACUCGACCCCAUGAAGCCGGAAUCGCUAGUAAUCGCGGAUCAGCCAUGCCGCGGUGAAUACGUUCCCGGGCCUUGUACACACCGCCCGUCAAGCCAUGGGAGUGGGUUUUGCCUGAAGUCGCCGGGAGCUUGCGCCGGGAAACGGCGCGGCAGACACCUAGGGUAAGGCUCAUGACUGGGGCUAAGUCGUAACAAGGUAA
rnacentral:rRNA from 1 species